rnacentral:rRNA from 1 species
GCAAACAGCUAGCUCUCUGCAACUCUCACAUGGUCACCCACUGAAGCUAAGCAGGGCUGCGCCUGGUCAGUACCUGGAUGGGAGACCACAUGGGAAAGCUAGGUUGCUGCCGGAA